AUCCAGCUGAUGAGUCCCAAAUAGGACGAAACGUGCGUCCUGAU
rnacentral:hammerhead_ribozyme from 1 species